UAUAUCCCAAGGCGCGUGAGAGAACCCUGGUUAAGGAACUCGCAAAUUGACACCGUAACUUCGGGAGAAGGUGUGCCGCUGGCGGUUAGUGACUUCGCGUCACGAAGCUGUCGGUGGUCGCAGUGAAAUGGCGGUUGUGACUGUUUACUAAAAACACAGGACUCUGCGAAGUCGUAAGACGACGUAUAGGGUCUGAUGCCUGCCCGGUGCUGGAAGGUUAAGGGGAUAUGUCAGCGCAAGCGAAGCAUUGAACCGAAGCCCCAGUAAGCGGCGGCCGUAACAAUAACGGUCCUAAGGUAGCGAAAUUCCUUGUCGGGUAAGUUCCGACCUGCACGAGGGCAUAACAACAUCCGCACUGUCUCGACCAGGGACUCAGCGAAAUUACAUUGGGGGUGAAGAUGCCCUCUACCCGCGGAAAGACGGAAAGACCCCAUGAACCUUUACUGCAACUUGGCAGUGAUUUUCGGGUUGUUCUGCGUAGGAUAGGUGGGAGGCUUUGAAGCCGGGCUUCCGGGUUCGGCAGAGCCAACGUUGAAAUACCACCCUGAAUAAUCUGGAAAUCUAACCUGCGCCCAUGAUCUGGGCGAGGGACACUGCCUGGUGGGCAGUUUGACUGGGGCGGUCGCCUCCUAAAUUGUAACGGAGGCGUGCGACGGUUCCCUCAGGCUGAUUGGAAACCAGCCGUAGAGUGCAAACGCAUAAGGGAGCUUUACUGCGAGACUGACAAGUCGAACAGUUGCGAAAGCAGGUGUUAGUGAUCCGGUGGUACCACAUGGAAGGGCCAUCGCUCAUCGGAUAAAAGGUACUCUGGGGAUAACAGGCUGAUCGCGCCUGAGAGUUCACAUCGGCGGCGCGGUUUGGCACCUCGAUGUCGGCUCAUCGCAUCCUGGGGCUGGAGCAGGUCCCAAGGGUUUGGCUGUUCGCCAAUUAAAGCGGUACGCGAGCUGGGUUUAAAACGUCGUGAGACAGUUUGGUCCCUAUCUUCCGUGGGCGCAGGACACUUGAGAGGAGCUAUCCAUAGUACGAGAGGACCUGGAUGGACGAACCUCUGGUGCUCCGGUUGUCACGCCAGUGGCAUAGCCGGGUAGCCAUGUUCGGAAUAGAUAACCGCUGAAGGCAUAUAAGCGGGAAGCUGGCCUCAAGACUAGGUGUCCCUGACGCAAGUCACUAAAGGCCCCUCGAAGACUACGAGGUUGAUAGGCUCGGUGUGGAAGCGCUGCGAGGCGUGGAGCUAACGAGUACUAAUAGGCCGUGCGACUUGACCUG
rnacentral:rRNA from 1 species